rnacentral:sRNA from 1 species
UUUGCAUGUUUAGGAUAGUUUUGCAUGCAUGUUGCGUAUUUGUGUUGUUUUCAGGUGAUUUGGAGCUGUUGGCGAGCUAAUUGGAAGAAACUGGCCAGAUCAUAUCAAUACAUUU